rnacentral:rRNA from 1 species
UUUAUGGAGAGUUUGAUCCUGGCUCAGAGUGAACGCUGGCGGCGUGCCUAAUACAUGCAAGUCGAACGAUGAAGCUUCUAGCUUGCUAGAAUGCUGAUUAGUGGCGCACGGGUGAGUAACGCAUAGGUCAUGUGCCUCUUAGUUUGGGAUAGCCAUUGGAAACGAUGAUUAAUACCAGAUACUCCCUACGGGGGAAAGAUUUAUCGCUAAGAGAUCAGCCUAUGUCCUAUCAGCUUGUUGGUAAGGUAAUGGCUUACCAAGGCUAUGACGGGUAUCCGGCCUGAGAGGGUGAACGGACACACUGGAACUGAGACACGGUCCAGACUCCUACGGGAGGCAGCAGUAGGGAAUAUUGCUCAAUGGGGGAAACCCUGAAGCAGCAACGCCGCGUGGAGGAUGAAGGUUUUAGGAUUGUAAACUCCUUUUGUUAGAGAAGAUAAUGACGGUAUCUAACGAAUAAGCACCGGCUAACUCCGUGCCAGCAGCCGCGGUAAUACGGAGGGUGCAAGCGUUACUCGGAAUCACUGGGCGUAAAGAGCGCGUAGGCGGGAUAGUCAGUCAGGUGUGAAAUCCUAUGGCUUAACCAUAGAACUGCAUUUGAAACUACUAUUCUAGAGUGUGGGAGAGGUAGGUGGAAUUCUUGGUGUAGGGGUAAAAUCCGUAGAGAUCAAGAGGAAUACUCAUUGCGAAGGCGACCUGCUAGAACAUUACUGACGCUGAUUGCGCGAAAGCGUGGGGAGCAAACAGGAUUAGAUACCCUGGUAGUCCACGCCCUAAACGAUGGAUGCUAGUUGUUGGAGGGCUUAGUCUCUCCAGUAAUGCAGCUAACGCAUUAAGCAUCCCGCCUGGGGAGUACGGUCGCAAGAUUAAAACUCAAAGGAAUAGACGGGGACCCGCACAAGCGGUGGAGCAUGUGGUUUAAUUCGAAGAUACACGAAGAACCUUACCUAGGCUUGACAUUGAGAGAAUCCGCUAGAAAUAGUGGAGUGUCUGGCUUGCCAGACCUUGAAAACAGGUGCUGCACGGCUGUCGUCAGCUCGUGUCGUGAGAUGUUGGGUUAAGUCCCGCAACGAGCGCAACCCCCUUUCUUAGUUGCUAACAGGUCAUGCUGAGAACUCUAAGGAUACUGCCUCCGUAAGGAGGAGGAAGGUGGGGACGACGUCAAGUCAUCAUGGCCCUUACGCUUAGGGCUACACACGUGCUACAAUGGGGUGCACAAAGAGAAGCAAUACUGCGAAGUGGAGCCAAUCUUCAAAACACCUCUCAGUUCGGAUUGUAGGCUGCAACUCGCCUGCAUGAAGCUGGAAUCGCUAGUAAUCGCAAAUCAGCCAUGUUGCGGUGAAUACGUUCCCGGGUCUUGUACUCACCGCCCGUCACACCAUGGGAGUUGUGUUUGCCUUAAGUCAGGAUGCUAAAUUGGCUACUGCCCACGGCACACACAGCGACUGGGGUGAAGUCGUAACAAGGUAACCGUAGGUGAACCUGCGGUUGGAUCACCUCCUUUCUAGA